rnacentral:rRNA from 1 species
CCUACGGGUGGCAGCAGUGAGGAAUAUUGGUCAAUGGGCGAGAGCCUGAACCAGCCAAGUCGCGUGAGGGAUGACGGCCCUAUGGGUUGUAAACCUCUUUUGUCGGGGAGCAAAAGCCGGACGUGGCCGGCCCUGAGGUUACCCGAUAAAAAAGGAUUGGCUAACUGCCUGCCAGCAGCCGCGGUAAUACGGAGGAUGCAAGCGUUAUCCGGUUUUAUUGGGUUUAAAGGGUGCGCAGGCGGAAUCCCAAGUCAGCGGUAAAAUCGUGGGGCUCAACCCCAUCCAGCCGUUGAAACUGGGGAUCUAGAGUGUGCGAGAGGUAUGCGGAAUGCGUGGUGUAGCGGUGAAAUGCAUAGAUAUCACGCAGAACCCCGAUUGCGAAGGCAGCAUACCGGUGCACAACUGACGCUCAGGCACGAAAGCGUGGGUAUCGAACAGGAUUAGAUACCCCUGUAGUC